AUAAGGCAGGUGAGAAUCCUGCCCGCCGGAAGUCUAAGGAUUCCUGGGGAAGGCUCGUCCGCCCAGGGUAAGUCGGGACCUAAGGCAAGGCCGAAAGGCGUAGUCGAUGGGAAACAGGUAGAUAUUCCUGUACCACCGCUAUAUGAUGACGAAGCAGUGGCGCAGAGAGGUAGAGCGAGCGGCCAGUUGGUGAGCCGUUCAAGUGAGUAGGGUGUUGCGUAGGCAAAUCCGCGCAACGUGAGCCUGAGACACGAUGACGAGUGAAAAAUAGUAACGAAGUCCUUGAUCCUCCGCUGCCAAGAAAAGCUGCUAAGGAAUAUAGAGGUGCCCGUACCGCAAACCGACACAGGUAGACAGGUGGAGAAUACUAAGGCGCGCGAGAUAACUCUUGUUAAGGAACUCUGCAAAAUGAACCCGUAACUUCGGGAGAAGGGUUGCUCUCUAGCGUGAGUAUGAGCAAUACAGAGCGCAGGAGAGUCGCAGUGAAAAGGUCCAGGCGACUGUUUAGCAAAAACACAGGUCAUUGCAAAAUCGCAAGAUGAAGUAUAAUGGCUUACGCCUGCCCGGUGCUGGAAGGUUAAGGGGAAGAGUGCAAGCUUUGAACCGAAGCCCCAGUAAACGGCGGCCGUAACGAUAACGGUCCUAAGGUAGCGAAAUUCCUUGUCGGGUAAGUUCCGACCCGCACGAAAGGCGAAACGAUCUGGACGCUGUCUCAACAAGGGACUCGGUGAAAUUGAAAUUCCGGUAAAGAUGCCGGAUACCUGCGAUAGGACAGAAAGACCCCAUGGAGCUUUACUGUAGCCUGAUAUUGGGUUUCGGAUAUUCAUGUACAGGAUAGGUGGGAGACUAAGAAGCAUGGACGCCAGUUUGUGCGGAGUCACUGGUGGGAUACCACCCUUAAAUGUUUGGAAUUCUAACAAGGAGUCUUGAAGCAGAUUAUUGGACAGUGUCAGGUGGGCAGUUUGACUGGGGCGGUCGCCUCCCAAAAGGUAACGGAGGCGCUCAAAGGUUCCCUCAGAACGGAUGGAAAUCGUUCGCAGAGUGCAAAGGCAGAAGGGAGCUUGACUGCGAGAGCCACAACUCGAGCAGAUAGGAAACUAGGACUUAGUGAUCCGGCGGUCGCGAGUGGAAGUGCCGUCGCUCAACGGAUAAAAGCUACCCUGGGGAUAACAGGCUUAUCUCCCCCAAGAGUUCACAUCGACGGGGAGGUUUGGCACCUCGAUGUCGGCUCAUCGCAUCCUGGGGCUGAAGUAGGUCCCAAGGGUUGGGCUGUUCGCCCAUUAAAGCGGUACGCGAGCUGGGUUCAGAACGUCGUGAGACAGUUCGGUCCCUAUCCAUCGCGGGCGUAGGAAAUUUGAAGGGAGCUGACCCUAGUACGAGAGGACCGGGUUGGACAGACCGCUGGUGAACCAGUUGUUCUGCCAAGAGCAUAGCUGGGUAGCUAAGUCUGGAAAAGAUAAACGCUGAAAGCAUCUAAGCGUGAAGCGAACCUUAAGAUGAGAUUUCCCACAACGAAAGUUGAUAAGACACCAGAGAGAAUAACUGGUAGAUAGGUCAGGAGUGUAAGUGUGGUGACACAUUGAGCGGACUGAUACUAAUAAGUCGAAGACUUAGCC
rnacentral:rRNA from 1 species